rnacentral:rRNA from 1 species
AUUGAACGCUGGCGGCAGGCUUAACACAUGCAAGUCGAGCGGGGUGAUGGUGCUUGCACUAUCACUUAGCGGCGGACGGGUGAGUAAUGCUUAGGAAUCUGCCUAUUAGUGGGGGACAACAUCUCGAAAGGGAUGCUAAUACCGCAUACGUCCUACGGAAGAAAGCAGGGGAUCACUUGUGACCUUGCGCUAAUAGAUGAGCCUAAGUCGGAUUAGCUAGUUGGUGGGGUAAAGGCCUUCCAAGGCGACGAUCUGUAGCGGGUCUGAGAGGAUGAUCCGCCACACGGGGCCUGCGACACGGCCCAGACUCCGACGGGAGGCAGCAGUGGGGAAUAUUGGACAAUGGGGGGAACCCUGAUCCAGCCAUGCCGCGUGUGUGAAGAAGGCCUUAUGGUUGUAAAGCACUUUAAGCGAGGAGGAGGCUCUUUUGGUUAAUACCCAAGAUGAGUGGACGUUACUCGCAGAAUAAGCACCGGCUAACUCUGUGCCAGCCGCCGCCGUAA